GGCGUUUUCACACCUAUAGUUGGUUCGCUUUGGUCCGAAUCAGUUGUUGAGUUUGUAAACUUCGAGCGAUUUCCCCUUGGUUCGGUUUCGUUUCACACCUGGAAAAAUCCAAGCGUACCAAAAUGCGUCAUUACAAAUCA